GACGAACGCUGGCGGCGUGCCUAAUACAUGCAAGUCGAGCGAAGCGGCGGAUGGGUGAGUAACGCGUGGGUAACGUGCCCUUAAGUCUGGGAUAGCAUUUGGAAACAGAUGCUAAUACCGGAUACUAAAGGAAGGAACUGCGAUGCAUUAGCUAGUUGGUAAGGUAACGGCUUACCAAGGCGAUGAUGCCUAGCCGGUUUGAGAGGCUGAUCGGCCACAUUGGGACGGAGACACGGCCCAAACUCCUACGGGAGGCAGCAGUAGGGAAUCUUCCACAAUGGACGAAAGUCUGAUGGAGCAACGCCGCUUGUGUGAAGAAGGUUUUCGGAUCGUAAAGUUCUGUUGUUGGUGAAGCGGUAAUCAACCAGAAAGUCCCGGCUAACUACGUGCCAGCAGCCGCGGUAAUUC
rnacentral:rRNA from 1 species